CCAAAAACACAUAUCAAAGAGCCUUUAGGUAGCAGACUAUACAUUAGCAUUUUACCCUUAACCUAUACUUGUCAUGAUACUGGUUCUACGUGAGAUUAUCGCCAAAUAUGAAUACUCAUUUCAGCCGAAAACUAAAAUAAACCUGAAAUACAUGCAGUUUAACUGAGUCCUUUACCACAACAUCUUAACAGUCCCAUGACAAUGUAUAAUGAGAAGAUUUCAGCUAACUAAACCAGAAAUCAACUCGAAUGAUGAAUCACAUCACUAAGAACACACAAUCAAAAAGAAAUUCAGAUGAAGCAUGGAUAAAUCUAAUAAUAUGCUUUAAUACUUUCUGCCUUUCAUUUCAUUCCUCAAAUCCAUCUUCACAAUCAGUAGGGCCUGAGAGUAUGCACCUGAGUAAGUAAAAACAAGAGCAGAAUAUCAAGCUGAAGAUCAAGGGAAAGCAGCAACACCAGAAACCAACAGUGUAAACGUGCUGAAACCCAGAUUCAAACAAUAAAACAGUAACACCCAAACAGCACACUUAAAACAAGCUUCUGAAUAUCCAAAAUUCAAUCUAUUUCAACCCAAUUGCAUGAUUUUGUCAUUUUCAGUAACGUUAAUCAAGCAAUGAAGAUCAGCAACCAGGAAACCAAACCAAUUUUGAGUGAUUUCACACAAGGAAAUGCAAGGAAUUCAAGAAUAUUUCAGAAUUUUCCAAAGAAGGCAGCCGUUCAGUUUUUUUAGUAUUUUUUUUGCUCUCUAAGAUCCCUCUCUUUAGUCUCUAAGUAAUGAUGCCUUUAUAGGCAAGCUAUUAGGGUAGCUAAAAGGAUCAGUUUUUGCACUUUGCAGAUUUGAUAUUUUUAUUUUAGCUCCAAUACCCUUAGUUCAGAAAUUAACUUUCAAACUAACCCCCAUCUCAACUUCCUAGAAACUUCUCUAGUCUGUUACUGAAAUAUUCCCUACGCCAAUUACCCAGAAUAACCCUCAAUACCCCUAAAGAUUACCCCUCCAACCAAAAUAUGGGUCAAACUGACCCGACUCAAUUUGGUAUGGGUCUGCAACCCAAGCUGAAUUCCCUCUUGGGCUCUUGAUUUUUCAGAGCCCAAUUCAAAUUAAUCAAAGAUUCACAGUUUUAAGACUUUAUCAAAAUCUCCCAAAAGAAAACCCGGAAACCUUUUAAAAUGCAAUCAAAAUAAAGAAGAGGGUGAAUGAACUAAUUAACCUAAACACAUAGCAGGAAAUUAACUAAGUUAUAGGCCUAAUCAAAUUAACUAGGUGAUUAAACAGAAAGACAAAACAAGAAAAUUAGCCAUGUUAUUAACCAAAUUUAACGGACUAAAGAAGUCAGAGAACAGGCUUUCACAAAGAAGAUGAAAAGAAAAAAGAAAAGGAACAAAAUAAUGAACGGAAAACAAAUUUGAACUCAAAUAGUUAAUCGAAUUUCACCCGAUUAUUAUAAGAAAACUAGGCUAAAGAAAAGGGAAGGAGGAGGAUAAUAAGACAGUGAAAGAAAGAAAAAUACAAGAGGGGGAAAUGAACUUACCAAAUCAAAACUCGAAACCAGACGGAGACAAAAGACCUAACAAAACUAAUGUCGAUCAAUUGUUCUUUGUCAAGAACAAACUAAACGACAUCAGUCUUGUUGAACCCAAACUUUAAAAUUUGAAGAAACAACGCCCUAUGACCAUGCAUGCUCUCAAGUUCUAUAGAAAAUGACUUUUGGACUUUUAGGGCUCGACCUAGGAUUCAAGAUUCGCGGAGCUCCGGGCAGAUUCAAAGGAAAGCACUUGGGGAUUUGGUACGAGGGGAUCAUGGAGGUUGUAGGGUAUUAGUUUGGCGCGGUUUGGGAACUGCGCCGCCGGCGAUAAGCGGUGGAAACUAGGGCGGCGUCUUUAGGGUUUGGGUUAGAGAUGAUGAGAUUUGGG
rnacentral:lncRNA from 1 species